CAAAAGCAAACAAAAUCAAGCAGGAAAUAUUGCUGAGAAUUGAGGGAGCUGGAUGCUUUAGGUAGAAGACUGAGCCCCUGGCUGUUAGUCAAAGGUUAGGCAUGUUGGCACCUGCUGCAGAUCAUCUAGUGGAAAAGAAAACCUAUCACUCUAAUUUACAGCUUGAGGAAAUGUAGCAGGCACCAUCAGGCUUUGCAUCACGAUGUCUGGAGACCUGGUUUUGAUCAGCAUCCAUGUCACAUGUGACAAGAGCUAUCGUAUUAACUUGAUGAGAACUUCCAAAUUUCCUCAGGUGCUUAAAACACAGCCCCAUGAAAUACUCUACAUACUGAAAGGCCGCUAUCAGGUCUUCCUUCAGGAGCCUUCUCUUCCCCAGGCUGAACAGCCCCAGCUUUCUCAGCCUGUCCUCACAGGAGAGACGUUCCACCCCUUGGAGCAUUUUUGUGGUCCUCCUCUGGAUGUACUCCAACAGAUCCACAUCCCUCCUCCACCGAUGAGUCCACAUCUAGACCCAAUACUCCAGGUGAGGUCUCACCAGCUCAGAGUAAAGAGGUACCAAAAAGCUGGAGUUCUAAAGCACAGCCCCUGCUGAAGAGAGAUGUGUAGCUAUAUGUUGAUAGUCCUGUAGACAGUACAAGGAUUUCUUCAUCUUUUCUUUGACGCAAUUCCUUCAAAGGUUGCAUCUAAGCUUACCUGCAAGAGAACACCAGGAGACACCCUGGAUCCUGCUCCUUGGAUAACAAGAUCAUGUGCUUAGAUUUCACCUACACAGAGACAGGCAUGUGGGAAACUGCUGGUACAUAUCCAGACGGUACACUAAUGGGAAUCCAGGAUGUGAUAUCUGCAUCUGGGAAUUCAGAAACAUUCCUGGACUUUACGAUUCAGGCAUCACUGGUGACAGUGUCCUGCUGUGCUGUGUCCUCCUGUGGUCUUGUUUACCAUUUUCCUGGCGUGUGUGCGCAUACACUGUCUGAAAUCUGUGGACACUGGUUGUGGAUUCAGCACCCAGGCAAAAAUCUCAUCGACAGAGGUCACAGAAUUUGGUUUCCAGGGUUUAAAUGGACAUUUCCAAAUGAUGUGUGUUCUAAAGCCUUCAUCCUUCUUAUUGUAUGGCAAAGGGAAAACCACGAUAUCAGAGCUAUAAGACAACGAUGUGCUUGGACCCAGCCUUCAAAACUGAAUAUCUUAAGGACAUCCUAGAGGAAUUUCCCUCCUACCAUAAGUACAUCAGGAUGCCUAAAGUACCGUUAGAUGGAGUACUGGUGUGCCAUGAAUGUCACCCUGGCAAUGCUGGAGAGGAAGUUUUCUGAUUUAAAUUAAGAGAAAAUGAGAAAUAAAUCAGGAUCAGAAAUUAACAGCCUACAAAUGAUAAUGAGCUCAGUGAAUAUUAUUAACACGAGUUACAACUGACUGACAAGUGAAACCAGCAUAUGGUGUUCAGUCUUCCCAGAAAAGUUUUUUCUGUCUUCUGCUGAUGGAGCACCACUUCAUCUGUUGCACCAGUUGACUGACAAUAUGACAUCUGGAAUGAAGGAAAGGAUUUCCUUCGUAUAUCUUACCCAUUUCUCUGGGCUAUAAUAGCACUUGGCUUUUUAGUUUGGCCAGCACUAACACAGUGUCAGGAGGUCUGACAGGAGGUUUCUGCAAAAAAACAGACCAUCUCGACCACCAUCCCAGACUUUGAGGGGAUUACAGAGUACAGGAUAAAUUUACCUCUCAUAUGAUGCACACUGUGGGAACAAAAACUUUGCCUACAGCGAAGAAUUUGAUAAAUCCCCUCUUAAAGAGAGCUCCUUCAUUUCUCAAAUUACCUGAGCGGGUAGCUGCUGUCACAUGGGCAACUUUCUGUUAUAUCAGAGGCAGUAACUGGUGAAUUAAUCCUUUACACAUGCAGAAAUGAAAAAUGUCUGCAAGCUCAGAAUGUAAAUAAACAACGUUCAUUUAUCUCUUUUCCAUCAUCUCAUUCAUUCACCUAUCUUAUAGAUUAAUGAAGUAUCAAUAGAUGUGUUAACAAAGAGGCAAACCACAAUGAGAUUUACUAUAGCAGUGAUAUUCUUGCAGUAAGGAAUUCUGAACAUUUCAAGAGCAGCCUUCAAACUACCUUCAAAAGCUACAUCCUUCUGGAAUUCCAGUGAGUUAAUGCUUAUCCAUCCAUUUCUAAUGAUACACACAGUGUAACUCCAGUUACUAUAAUGUCAUAUCAUGGGAAAAGACAAAAGCUGUUUAUAAAGAUCUGGAAACAAAUUUCCCUGCAUAUGUCUCACAGCAGCUGUAUAAAUUAAAAUAAUAUUGCUUGCGUUGGUGCUAGGUGAUGCAAAAAAUAUUUAGGGCUAUUUCAAUGAUACCGUAGGUUUGCACAUACAGCAUUGUAGAGGCAGAGAUUUAACUUUUGUUGCAGAAGUUAUCUUAUUAUUGAAAGUGUAUGUGUCACUGAUGAGAAGUUUAACAAGGCUAGUAAAUGAGAAGUGCAAGUUGUAUUCUGUACUGAGUUUUGCUCAGCAGAGAGAUUUGACAUUUCUGCUGAUGUCAGCUGCCAUGAUAUACCCUUGUCAUUUGUAUGGAAAAACAACACCUCAUUACAAAAGGUACAAUUUUUUCCAUUCUCUCUUAAUCUCACCAAUUAUACUCCACAUUUACAGUCUAACUGAAUGACACUUUUUUCAAAACAUGCCAAAUUGUGGUGGUUUGGGAUCAUAUGUCAAUGCGACUGGAUAUAGUUUGAAACUAACAAGUAAAAUAUGAUAUAACAUAAUCUGAAAAAAAAUCAUAAAACCUGUGAGAGGACCUUUUUAACAGUUUUGUGAUAAUGGAUUCUCAUACAGUAAAUGAAAAAACAUUAAUAUAAUAUCACAUAUAUGUAAAAUAUGUCCAUUUUUCAAUCCUGGUAAUGCACAUCUUGGCAGAACAGUGGCUUUUAUUCAUACUACUUGGUACAAACAGCAUUUAAUUGUAUCAAAAUGUUGUACACUGAGAAUAUUUCUUCUGGAGCUGGUCAGGGAGGACCAGCAGCAAAGGAUAAAACUUUUGAGAAGCAUAGGAAAAAAAAAUGUAGCUAUUUAAAAGAGAAGUGAGAUUAGAUGAAAAUAAUGAACAGGGAAAAACAGACAAGGAGUACACAGAUGUUUGAGGCAGACCAGAGAGAUGUAAAUGUAGGUGGAUGCUCUCCUGCUGCUCUCACAAGACCCUGACAGCAGUCCAGGACAGUGUCACCCAUACACGCAGUCCUUCUCCCCAGUCACUCCAUUAAUCACUGCCUGCCACUGCUUGUGAAGCACAGAGGUCACGUUAGCAUGUAGCCAUCCUUCAUUUCAGUUCCCUUUGCCAGUCACACACUUAUCAAUUUGAACAAGCCGCACUCCAGAUCUCAAGGAAAAAAAACAAGAUGGAAAAAGAAAAACAAGAUGAAAAAAUUCUGAGGACUUUGGAGGAAGAUAAAGGGAGAGGUGUGGGUUGCAGAAAGGGCAUAAAGUGGGGACAAACUCAAAUUUUCUCUACAGAAUGGUGCGAACUAUCCAACCAAACUGCUGCUGCUGGAGUCAUGGUUAAACUUUAUCAAACUAAGAGUUUGUAAUAUUUAUUUAUUUAUUUAUUACUAAUUUUAACAUUUUCACAAUGUGUCAGCAAGAGCUAAGAGCACUUUAUUUACAGGACACUGUCUUUUCAUAAACGUGGUUGAUUGUUGCAGGUAACUGCAACUGGGACAUAGCCAGGCUUCUUAUACGAGGGGAAGAAGUCCGAUUUGCACUGUUAAGAAAUGUUAAAGUGCUGCUGUGGCAUCCUAAGUGUUAUGAAGAUCUUGCAGUCUGUUAGGACAACUCACAUUCUCCUGAUGGCAUCCGCAUUUAAAUCUGUAAAAUUUGUAGGCUUAUAUCUGUCAUAGCCCAAUGUGUCCAGUUGUAGUUAUGCCCACUUAAGCAAAACAUGGAACUAUCUGUUAUAAAAGACAAGGUUGCAUUUACAGAACUGGAAUAUCUCUUUUCAAUUUGGGAAAAAUAUCAUUAUUUUAAAUGUAGAUUAAAUAUUGAAUGGUAAUGUUAUACUUCAGCAGCAAAAGAAUACAAUACAUGAAAUCUGAAGUAUUUUUUCUGUUCAUAAACUCUUGGAGUUCAUAUCACCAAUUCCAUAUAAUUUGUCUUGCGUUUGACUGUUAAUUUCACUGUUUCAUAGAGCUGAUUGACUGAGCUGAAUCAGAUGCUGCACAGAGUCCAGAAAAAGUCUACUCUUUUCCCUCUUGAUUAGUGAGAUUUAUACACCAUCGAUAUAUAGACUUGUGAGGUGAAACGUGCUAAAACAGUUUGAGUGAUGACAGGUGGUUAUUUUCUUGAAAAAAAUUUAAAAUAAAAUACAAAAUAAAAACACUUGCUGCUUCUAAGAGUCUGAAUUUUCUUUUCAGCUAGGCUGUUUUAUAACAUUUUGGAAGUAUAAAGUUGUUUUAAUUUUAAUUCAAUUAAAUUUAUAUCUUCUUGAAAGAUAAGUACAAUGCUACUUGGAUAUCAUCUCCAAUAGACGUGUGCAUGCAUUAAAUUUUGACCUUACAAACAUUUUUGACAAGAAGCACCACACCUCAGACAAUUGUGCCUAAAUGGCCUCAUGGUUUCCUCUGAUGCUUUAUUAUCUCUGCCUCAGAACUGCCGGCACUGGUUAUCCACCAGUACCUCACCAAGCAAAAUAAUGUUAAAACACAGAAUAAAAAAAUUUGGAACUACCGUAAAGAGCUUUCACAAUAGUUGAACACAAUGCUUUGAAACUCUAUAUUUCCUUUUAAUUUUAUGAAAAUUGUGGAGUAUCUACGGUCCACUUGAGUCCAAGAGACUUUCAGAUUUUAUUGCAUACAUUUCAUGCAUCACCGAAUCAAAGAACAACUUGGGUUGGAAGGGAUCUUAAAUGCCGACCAGUUUCAACCUCUCUGCUAUGGGCAGGGUUGCAACCCACUAGAUCAGGUUAUCCAGGACCCCAUCCAACCUGGUCUUGGCAUCCCAUCAGAGUAGUCAAGGUUAUGGUUUCUGGUUCCUUGAAUUUAGUUCCAUGUUUUCAUCCACUGAUGUGUUGGCAGAAGUUCAUGUUUGUCAUUCUUUCUUGUGAAUAAUAGUCUAAGCAGUUUACCAAUAGACAAAUACCCAAACUGGUUUCAGAGAGAUUUAUGGGUUAGUCACUGAAAUUUGCUUUCUACAUUUUAACAUGCUCCAAAACUGACCAAAUACAUCAUUAUUAUUUGUUUGUAAUAGAAGCUAAUGUAUGGUGUGGUAUAUAAAAAUAGCAGUAAAGUAGAAUUUAUCUUUACAUGACUCACUGUGACUAUAUUCAUGUUUAUAAUUCACCAAACUUGAGAAAAUACCUCUUCCUGACCCUGCCAUAACACAGUGACAGCUUCAGUAUGAAACGUGCAAUCCUGGACUUGCAGGUGAUUCUCACUGCAGAAGAUCAUGUAUUCACAGCUACCCAGGAGAACCUGAGAACUGGUAAAAUGGGGGAUAAAAUUUAACUUCAGAAGAUUAUUCAAAGGAAGCCACUCUGAAGUCAAAAUCCUCAAACCAGAUUUAAGGUUUGAAGUGAGGCAAUUCACCUCAAAUAAGAGCAAAUAAAAGAUACUUUAAAAGCAUAGGAUUUAAAACUAGACAUAAAAGAGUAGUGAUACCCUCUUUUCAAGUAAUAGAACAAACUAUAUUAUGAGCAGCAUUUUGAAGUGUACAUCAAACUGAUUUUCUUCCCUUUAUCCUUUUUAAUCUCCACCAGAUGCACUUUCUUUAAAUUCAAGUUUUACAUUCCUAUCCAUAACUUGUCUGAACACACGGAAAGAGCAUUGAGAGACAUUAGUGACAUUCUUUUUCCUUUUCUUACUGCGUCACUCUAUUUUUUACAGCUGCUGAAAGCUUAUCUUCUUAAGUGUCACAGUUUUAUAGACUUGGUUUACUUUAUUUUCAUCCA
ensembl:lncRNA